AGCAAGACAAUGUUCAAGAGGAGUAUUUGUUCACCUGGUGUAUAGAGAAAAGUCGGUCGGUGCAAGACUUUCCCAGAAGCAAAGAAGGUAGCUUGAAGGUCUUUGAUUCGAGGAUCCAUGCUGAUCCAAGGACAAACGCAUCGUGACCGUUAACUCACGUCAAAGUGGUAGAGAAAUCUACAAUUUAGGUGGUACCGCGUAUCAGCGCCCUAAAU
rnacentral:ncRNA from 1 species